GCUCUUGUGGUCCAGUGGUAAGACGUAUCCCUGCCACGGAUGAGACCCGGGUUCGAUUCCCGGCAAGUGCA
rfam:Entamoeba invadens IP1 unplaced genomic scaffold scaff_1105074726289, whole genome shotgun sequence.